rnacentral:rRNA from 1 species
UGCCUGUUCGCCUAGGUCUCUCGCUGGAGUGGCGUGUUCGGCGGUGUCUCUUCAAAGAGCCGCGGUUUAGUGCUGCACUGUGGAGUGACGAGUGAAGCAGCGAGAGCGCGCGACGUGUGUCGUGUCGUGUGCGGGGCACCCACGAAGGAAGGAGCGCACUAAUUCUUCUCGUCCAGCGUGCCAUCUUAAACAGUGGCGGCCAGCAUCUAAUAACGAAAGCUAAGGCCACGUGUGUGUCUCUCUUCGCGCCCAAUACCGCCUCCUUCUAUUCCGCGGGUCGCUGCGUUACAGCUGCCACCGCCUCCUCCGCGGCCACUGCCGGCUCGCCGGCCAGGCCCGUCUGGACCUCGGCGCGGAAGGGUUCGGUAUGAACCGAGCUCGAGACCAGCACGGCCUACACAUGGUAGGACUUCCUCUCUCGCCCCUCCCCGUGCUCGUGCCGGUCUUCUCGCAGGACGUCGUCGUACACCGGAAGAAGCUGGACCUGCCGCUGCCGUAGCAGAUAGGGACCCUUUGAAUGGCUCCUUACUCCCGUAACCCGAAGUUGCACUAGCACAGCAAGCACAACCGUUAACAGAAAUUAUAACCAAAGUCGAAGGGUUGAGCUGGAUCGACCUAUGGCAGAGGGGACAACGGGCAUGUGUAGUUCUUGUAGGUGUCCCCGUUCGUACCAUCGCUAAGGAGUUGAAUACUGUGUCUCCCUUCCAAGUACGGCCAUUUAAAGCUCUCGUAGAAGUCGUUCAUACGGGCGUGCCGCGGCCUGUUCGAAUCGAAGCCGCUGUAGACCUCCUACUGGCUUCCGUUGGCCGACUUGAAGCUGAAGUAACCUACCUAACACUCGUUCCCCUUCACCUAUGACGAAAUGCACGAACGGUUCCUACUCCUUCCGAAGGAGAGGUCUCUUCGACAAGCGGCGACGAAACUACCAUCGGACAAGCUCAAGUAGCGGGUCCUUUCCUCCCUUCGGGUGCUCUUCGACGUGAUCUCACGUUGCGACAGUAGAAGCACUCAUUUUGACAUCUGUCUACAUAAUGGAGUACAUACGGAUACUUUAUUCUCUCCUUGCUCAUGCUUCAGGUCUGUUAUUUCAACAUGUUCAUGAGACAUGACACUAACAACUUAAGAUAUUCUCUCCUUGCUAUCUAACGAAACCUAGCCUAUCCAAUCUAGUAAGGCCA